rnacentral:rRNA from 1 species
GACGGGGCCGCACAAGCGGUGGAGCACGUGGUUUAAUUCGAUGCAAACCGUAAGAACCUUUACCAAGGUUUGACAUGCAAGUGUAGUGAUCUGAAAGUGAACGACCUUCGGGAGCUUGCACAGGUGCUGCAUGGCUGUCGUCAGCUCGUGUCGUGAGAUGUUCGGUUAAGUCCGCUAACGAGCGCAGCCCUCACUGUGUGUUAUACGUGUCACACGGGGACUGCCGGUUUUAAGCCGGAGGAAGGCGAGGAUGAAGUCAAGUCAGCAUGGCCUUUAUAUCUUGGGCUACACACACGCUACAAUGGUCUGUACAACAGGUUGCCAAGCCGCGAGGCGGAGCCAAUCCUAAAAGCAGGCCUCAGUUCAGAUUGUAGGCUGCAACCCGCCUGCAUGAAGAUGGAGUUGCUAGUAACCGCAGGUCAGCUAUACUGCGGUGAAUACGUUCCCGGGUCUU